rnacentral:lncRNA from 1 species
AUGAACAAGACCCCUCUGACUUUUCUCUGCUGCCCGCAUCCCUUGAAACAGUGUCCGAUGGGGUGUGUCUUCAACCUUGCGCCACGCAAGCCUUCGUUGGACAGAAGUGUUCAUUGUUCCCUCUCUUUGCAUAACAGAAUCAAUCAUCCUGAGCUCCUUCGUCCCGAUGGCCCUGGGAGAAACAGAGAGGGCGAUUUCUGCCACGGACCAGAGUGGGAUCUUCACCACAAAGGAAACAUCACAAAUCUCCCAGUUUUGUCAGUGAUCACUAAGAUCACAACCUCCACCCUUGUUUCCUUACCACUUAAUUAUUGGGUGGGGGGGUUAGAUCCUCAGGGAAAAGGGUUGGGACCAGACUUUCUUUCCCGAGUGCCAUUGCUUCAGCCAAAGUUUGAGUCCCACACAGCUUCUUUGAAGUGUGGGGGAAAAACAACAAACGGGGGAUCCCAUUGUGAAUCCUUCACAUCGCAUGGAGUUUGGUCCCUCAUAACUAGGCCUCAAGCCUGUUUCUGGAAUGUUC